rnacentral:tRNA from 1 species
GGUAUAGCUCAGUUGGUAGAGUGCUUGCCUCACAUGCAUUAGGACCUGGGUUCAAUCCCCAGCACC